rnacentral:rRNA from 1 species
UGCGUAGGUGGCUGAGUAAGUCGGAUGUUAAAUCUCCAGGCUCAACCUGGAACACCACCCGAUACUGCUCUGGCUAGAGUCCGGUAGGGGAGUGUGGAAUUCCUGGUGUAGCGGUGAAAUGCGCAGAUAUCAGGAGGAACACCAGCGGCGAAGGCGGCACUCUGGGCCGGUACUGACACUGAGGAGCGAAAGCAUGGGUAGCAAACAGGAUUAGAUACCCUGGUAGUCC